GAUAAACGCUAGCGGCAGGCUUAACACAUGCAAGUCGAGGGGCAGCAUAGAUUGUAGCAAUACAAUUGGUGGCGACCGGCGCACGGGUGCGUAACGCGUAUGCAACCUACCCGUCACAGGGGGAUAAUCCGGAAAAAUCUGGUCUAAUACCCCAUAACAUAUGGAUCGGCAUCGGUUCAUGUUGAAAUUUUCGGAGGUGACGGAUGGGCAUGCGUAGCAUUAGCUUGUUGGUGAGGUAACGGCUCACCAAGGCGACGAUGCUUAGGGGGACUGAGAGGUUUUCCCCCCACACUGGUACUGAGACACGGACCAGACUCCUACGGGAGGCAGCAGUGAGGAAUAUUGGUCAAUGGGCGCAAGCCUGAGCCAGCCAUGCCGCGUGCAGGAUGACGGCUCUAUGAGUUGUAAACUGCUUUUGUACGAGGGUAAAGUGGGUUACGUGUAACCUUUUGGAAGUAUCGUACGAAUAAGGAUCGGCUAACUCCGUGCCAGCCGCCGCAGUAA
rnacentral:rRNA from 1 species